rnacentral:rRNA from 1 species
GAUCAUGGCUCAGGAUGAACGCUGGCGGCGUGCCUAACACAUGCAAGUCGAACGAAGCACUGUAAACGGAGAUUCGUCGAAGUUUACUUUGACUUAGUGGCGGACGGGUGAGUAAUGUAUGAACAACCUGCCUUUCAGUGGGGGACAACAGUUGGAAACGACUGCUAAUACCGCAUGAUGUCAAUUGGGGGCAUCCCCGAAUGACCAAAGGAUUUAUUCGCUGAAAGAUGGGCUCAUA